AAGUCGUAACAAGGUUUCCGUAGGUGAACCUGCGGAAGGAUCAUUAACACGUUAUCCACGUAUCAUCAGGUACUGUGUUUUACUACCGGAGGUGCAAACUGAACAAGUGCAGGUCAUAGGAUAAAGAGCGGGACUCGAAAAGGGAGCAAUCCCCCAAUCGUCUUGCCUAUGGAUGCCACUCUUGCUGACGGGCUUGCUUUUUGGCGGCUCCGAUGGCCGGUACUGUUGUAUUUGCGCUGUAAGGCCACUUUCUGGCGAGGGACGCGUCCUCUUUGUUGCCCGCGCCAGGAAACAUUCAUUUACAAUUCUAACCCAUUUUUGCUAGUUGACUUUUAUAUGUUGUUCUUUUGCCUCGGCAAGGUUCACACGUUUAAUUAUUUGAACGUUAAAAAUACAACUCUUAGCAAUGGAUAUCUAGGUUCUC
rnacentral:misc_RNA from 1 species